rnacentral:rRNA from 1 species
AGGGUUUGAUCAUGGCUCAGAACGUACGCUGGCGGCACGCCUAACACAUGCAAGUCGAACGAAGUAGCAAUACUUAGUGGCAGACGGGUGAGUAACAUGUAGGUAUCUUCCCUUUGGCCUGGAAUAACACGAGGAAACUUGUGCUAAUACUGGAUAAGUCUUUACGGAGAAAGCUUUAUGCACCAUUGGAUGAGCCUGCACUUGAUUAGUUUGUUGGUGGGGUAAUGGCCCACCAAGACUUAGAUCAAUAGCUGAUUUGAGAGGAUGAUCAGCCACAUUGGGACUGAGACACGGCCCAAACUCCUACGGGAGGCAGCAGUGGGGAAUCUUGCACAAUGGAGGAAACUCUGAUGCAGCGAUGCCGCGUGAGUGAAGAAGGCCUUUGGGUUGUAAAGCUCUUUCGUCGGGGAAGAAAAUGACUGUACCCGAAUAAGAAGGUCCGGCUAACUUCGUGCCAGCAGCCGCGGUAAUACGAAGGGACCUAGCGUAGUUCGGAAUUACUGGGCUUAAAGAGUUCGUAGGUGGUUGAAAAAGUUGGUGGUGAAAUCCCAGAGCUUAACUCUGGAACUGCCAUCAAAACUUUUCAGCUAGAGUUUGAUAGAGGAAAGCAGAAUUUCUAGUGUAGAGGUGAAAUUCGUAGAUAUUAGAAAGAAUACCAAUUGCGAAGGCAGCUUUCUGGAUCAUUACUGACACUGAGGAGCGAAAGCAUGGGUAGCGAAGAGGAUUAGAUACCCUCGUAGUCCAUGCUGUAAACGAUGUGUGCUAGACGUUGGAAAUUUUAUUUUCAGUGUCGCAGCGAAAGCGUUAAGCACACCGCCUGGGGAGUACGACCGCAAGGUUAAAACUCAAAUGAAUUGACGGGGACCCGCACAAGCAGUGGAGCAUGUGGUUUAAUUCGAAGAUACGCGCAGAACCUUACCAACACUUGACAUGUUCGUCGCGAGCCUAAGAGAUUAGGCUCUUCAUUUAGUUGGACGAAACACAGGUGCUGCAUGGCUGUCGUCAGCUCGUGUCGUGAGAUGUUGGGUUAAGUCCCGCAACGAGCGCAACCCCUACGUUUAGUUACUAACAUUUAGUUGAGUACUCUAGACGAACUGCCAGUGAUAAGCUGGAGGAAGGCGGGGAUGACGUCAAGUCCUCAUGGCCCUUACGUGUUGGGCUACACACGUGCUACAAUGGUACUUACAAUAAGAUGCAAAGAGGCGACUCUUAGCUAAUCUUAAAAAUGUAUCUCAGUUCGGAUUGCACUCUGCAACUCGAGUGCAUGAAGCUGGAAUUGCUAGUAAUCGCGGAUCAGCGCGCCGCGGUGAAUACGUUCCCGGGUCUUGUACACACCGCCCGUCACACCAUGGAAGUUGGUUACACCUUAAGGCAAAGCGUAAAACCUUUGACUACGGUACGAUCAGCGACUGGGGUGAAGUCAUAACAAGGUAGCCGUA